rnacentral:rRNA from 1 species
AUUCCAACUCCAAUAGCGUAUACUAAUGCUGUUGCUGUUAAAAAGCUCGUAGUUUGAUAAGGACUGAUUCUGGUUCCGAUUCAGUACUUCGUAGCCUUGCUACAAGUAUUCGAUGAGAUCCGUUUGGAAUUGGUUCUGCAAUGAGUGACUCGUACGGAUGAAGAGCUAUUCACUUAGCUUGGAAUCGACUUCGCAGCCAACAUCUGCACAAGUACAGUCGUUCGUGAUACCGUGAACAAAACAGCGUGCUCAAAGCAAGUGAUUCUGCUCGAAUGUUCAAGCAUGGAAUAUCAAGGAAGCGACCGUGAGUCUAAUCUUUUGCUGGUUUUCUGUAUGCGUCUUGGGGAAUUGGACCUGAGAAUAUCGUACUGUAGCUGUCGUUACCUCCGGGUGCGGCUCUGCAUGCACUAAGCUCUAGUUUACCGGUAUUAACAGGGUGUAUUGGCUCGCGAGAGGU